rnacentral:rRNA from 1 species
CAUGACGAACGCUGGCGGCGUGCUUAACACAUGCAAGUCGAACGGAAAGGCCCUGCUUUUGUGGGGUGCUCGAGUGGCGAACGGGUGAGUAACACGUGAGUAACCUGCCCUUGACUUUGGGAUAACUUCAGGAAACUGGGGCUAAUACCGGAUAGGAGCUCCUGCUGCAUGGUGGGGGUUGGAAAGUUUCGGCGGUUGGGGAUGGACUCGCGGCUUAUCAGCUUGUUGGUGGGGUAGUGGCUUACCAAGGCUUUGACGGGUAGCCGGCCUGAGAGGGUGACCGGCCACAUUGGGACUGAGAUACGGCCCAGACUCCUACGGGAGGCAGCAGUGGGGAAUAUUGCACAAUGGGCGGAAGCCUGAUGCAGCAACGCCGCGUGCGGGAUGACGGCCUUCGGGUUGUAAACCGCUUUCGCCUGUGACGAAGCGUGAGUGACGGUAAUGGGUAAAGAAGCACCGGCUAACUACGUGCCAGCAGCCGCGGUGAUACGUAGGGUGCGAGCGUUGUCCGGAUUUAUUGGGCGUAAAGGGCUCGUAGGUGGUUGAUCGCGUCGGAAGUGUAAUCUUGGGGCUUAACCCUGAGCGUGCUUUCGAUACGGGUUGACUUGAGGAAGGUAGGGGAGAAUGGAAUUCCUGGUGGAGCGGUGGAAUGCGCAGAUAUCAGGAGGAACACCAGUGGCGAAGGCGGUUCUCUGGGCCUUUCCUGACGCUGAGGAGCGAAAGCGUGGGGAGCGAACAGGCUUAGAUACCCUGGUAGUCCACGCUGUAAACGGUGGGUACUAGGUGUGGGGUCCAUUCCACGGGUUCCGUGCCGUAGCUAACGCUUUAAGUACCCCGCCUGGGGAGUACGGCCGCAAGGCUAAAACUCAAAGGAAUUGACGGGGCCCCGCACAAGCGGCGGAGCAUGCGGAUUAAUUCGAUGCAACGCGUAGAACCUUACCUGGGUUUGACAUGGAUCGGGAGUGCUCAGAGAUGGGUGUGCCUCUUUUGGGGUCGGUUCACAGGUGGUGCAUGGCUGUCGUCAGCUCGUGUCGUGAGAUGUUGGGUUAAGUCCCGCAACGAGCGCAACCCUUGUUCACUGUUGCCAGCACGUUAUGGUGGGGACUCAGUGGAGACCGCCGGGGUCAACUCGGAGGAAGGUGGGGAUGACGUCAAGUCAUCAUGCCCCUUAUGUCCAGGGCUUCACGCAUGCUACAAUGGCUGGUACAGAGAGUGGCGAGCCUGUGAGGGUGAGCGAAUCUCGGAAAGCCGGUCUCAGUUCGGAUUGGGGUCUGCAACUCGACCUCAUGAAGUCGGAGUCGCUAGUAAUCGCAGAUCAGCAACGCUGCGGUGAAUACGUUCCCGGGGCUUGUACACACCGCCCGUCAAGUCAUGAAAGUUGGUAACACCCGAAGCCGAUGGCCUAACCGUUGUGGGGGAGCCGUCGAAGGU